rnacentral:tRNA from 1 species
GACUCCGUAGCUUAGUUGGUAGAGCAAUUGAUAUUAAUCAAUAGACGAUAGUUCAAGUCUGUCCGGAGUCG